GACGAACGCUGGCGGCGUGCUUAACACAUGCAAGUCGAACGAGAUCCAUGGAGUAGCAAUACUCCGGAAGAUCUAGUGGCGAACGGGUGAGUAACACGUGAGCAACCUGCCCUAAAGACUGGGAUAACCCCGGGAAACCGGAGCUAAUACCGGAUGUCCUCGUCGGAUCGCAUGGUCUGAUGAGGAAAUGAAUUUCGCUUUAGGAGGGGCUCGCGGGAUAUCAGCUUGNGGUGGGGUAACGGCCUACCAAGGCUUCGACGUCUAGCUGGUCUGAGAGGACGAUCAGCCACACUGGGACUGAGACACGGCCCAGACUCCUACGGGAGGCAGCAGUGGGGAAUCUUGCCCAAUGGGGGAAACCCUGAGGCAGCAACGCCGCGUGCGGGAUGACGGCCU
rnacentral:rRNA from 1 species